ensembl:lncRNA
GCGGGGACCCACCUGUGCGCCCGCCGCGCCCCCUGCGGGUGCUGCCCGCGCGCCGGCGGCGAACGGGGACUGGAAGGGGGUCGGCGGCCGCGGGGACGGACGUGCUCGGCGCUCCCCUGCCGACCCCGGGGACACUCGGGCAGCGGCCGAAACGUGCCGUUUCCUCCUCGCCGCCUGGCCCGGGUCGACACAUUUCUGGCUCCGGGCGUGUGUCCUUUGAAACAUUUGUUUAAUAUUAAGGAAGCUGCGUGUGCGGCCGUACCCGUACGCCCGGAACGUGUGGCCGUGGGCUCCGGGACGGUGAAUGAAUCAUCGCCCCGCGGACCGGGCGCCGAUGAUUCAUGCGCGGUACACCCCGCGCGUACUCGCCGUGUGCCCCUGCCCCAGGGACCGCGGCCCUUCCGCGGCGGUGACGCCUGGAGGGCCAGGGGGGGAGAGUGUGCAAAAGGGUGGGGUUUAUUUCCCCCCGCCCCAACUCCCGCAGUUUGGGGGAACUUUAGCCGGGAGGGGUGUCAGUUUGCCCAGAUUUCCCGAGGCUUGAUUCCCCUUCUUAGAAGAGUUGCGAGAUUCCACCUGGCUGAGUUGAUGAGUCGGUUCGCUGCAGGUGUGAGUCCUCUCAUUAGAAUCUGCAAGCUGUCAAGUGAGGUUUUGGACUCACUAGAAGGCAUCCUUCUAGUAAUUGCCUCUACUUAAGUACCGCCAGGGUGAUUAGCAGAAAGUUUAAAAGUCAGUGGAUCUUAAAAAUAAGUAGUUGCUAAAUAGAGGGGUUCUACUUAAAGAUCUACUUGACUCAUUCCUACCACGCCCUACGCUUUUAAGAUUGAGUAAAGUUUUCUCAUCAUUUAGAACUCAACUCAAAUGGCAUUUACCCAGCAAGGCCCUCUUGAUUAACUUAAGUGGCCUCUCACCCCUCACCUCAGGGACCACCCCCAGGCCUAUUUUAUUUUCUUCCUAGAACUUAAUCACUAUCUGAAAGGAUUUUCUUUGGGUGUUCUAUAAGUCCUGUCCCUCUGCGCUAGAACGUAAACUACACUAUGGCCGGAGUUUUCGCAGGGUUUGUUACUGCUGUAACUCUAGUGCCUGGCAUAGUAGGCACUCAGGAUUUGUUGACUAGCGAAUGAAUAAAUUCCUUUUCCCUGAUUUCUUGGUGAGUCUGUCUUUGACUGUUGAACUUAACUGUAACCUUUUUGUGGGCCAGGCACUAAGAUGGGACAGUUCUAACUUUUCUUCCAAUUUUCUUUUGGUUGAUUCAUUUCCUCCUCUGUGGUGUUAAAUUACAGCACAGGUGGAUUUGAGCUGUAUAUCCUAAGAUGCCGAGUAUGAAGAAAGAUAAGGCAUGUGGAGCCUUGUCAAGAGAAAGUGUAACUGUAGAGGUUAAUGGGUGAUUAAAAAUAUUACUUGUGCUGGUUGAGAAGUAGAGGAUAUUGAAAGGAGAUUGGCAAAGUCAGUUCCCACAGUACUAUAUGUUUCCAGUGGUAUUUGAAAUACUGAUAUUUCUAUAUUCCUCCCUCCCCACUGCCUGCACACCAACCUCAAAUGUAGCAUACUUUGGAAUGGUCCCUAGGAGGUAGCACUAAUACUGUGUCUUAAUUUAACUGAAUACAAGAUUUCCCUCUCUGCGGGGGCCUCAGCUCUGUUGUUGUCAGUGUCCAUAGCUUAACUCCAUAGGAGAGUAGAUAGAAGGAGUUAAAGUAUAUUUUAAUUUGGAUACUUUCAAUGGAUUGUAAAGAAUUAAAACUAUAAUAUGUCAGAUAUAAUGGAAGGAGUCGAAUGUCGUGCUUCAUACUACCUCCCUUCAGGAAAAGCUUUAGCAAACUUUUUGAUUAUAAAUAACAAACUUUGCAGGCAUAGCUUUACGUUGUAGGAAUCUUCUCAGAACCCAGUUCUUCCUAAUUUACUGCCAGAGACGAGUGGGCUUCCAGAAGUUCCCUUUCCGUAGUAGUGUAAUCUCAAGAGUGAGCUCAGACAUAAUAGAAUUUUAAAGCUAAAAGGACCUUAAAGUUGGUUGGCAUAAUUUAUUCCUUUUUAUCAGUUCCUUUAUGCCUUCGGAAACUAAAGCACAGUGGGAUGAUGUGCCUAGGGAGCAGGACUGGGGUUAGAAUCAAGCACCUUGACUUCUUGUUUGGAAGUCCUCGAGUCAGCCAGCGCUCCCAUAGUUGGGGGUGAGUGGUCCCUGUGGUAGCGGAUUCUCUGCCUCUUACUGGUGAACUUUUAGAGUGAAAUGAUGCGUAUUCAACCUUGUACCCUCCCCUGUGCCUUGGGAUCCAAGGGAUCAACACGUACUUGUUGAAUGUGGUUGGACAAAUGCAUUUUAAGUUAAAAAAUUGAUUUAAGAAUUGAGAAAGCAGGAAAACAUGUAUCUUUUCCAGAUUAAAGAUGUUUUUGACAAGAAAGUCAGAAUGUUGGCAGUAAUUAACCUUAGAGCUUUUAUGGUAAUGAAGCUGUUCUUUAAUUUUCAUGCCUCCAAAAUUUCAAGUAAGAUGGCUUACAACUUGUAAGUGUAUGCACUUGCUUAGUUGGCAUAAUUAUUCACUGAAGGAACAGUAGAAGGCUGUUUCAGGACACCUGGUAAAGGUCUUGCCUUUGCCACAGUGAG